rnacentral:tRNA from 1 species
GGGCGGUUGGCGCAGUUUGGUUAGCGCGCAUGCUUGACAUGCAUGAGGUCACAGGUUCGAGUCCCGUACCGCCCACCU